AUCCGGAUUUAUUGGGUUUAAGGGAGCUGUAGCUGUACAUUAAGUGUGUUGUGAAAUGUAUACGCUCAACGUCAGAAUUGCAUCGCAUACUGGUAUCCUUGAGUACGCACAACGUUAGCGGAAUUCGUCGUGUAGCGGUGAAAUGCUUAGAUAUUACGAAAAACUCCGAUUGCGAAGGCAGCUGACGGGUACUCUCAACUGACGCCUUAAGCUCGAAAGUGCGGGUAUCAAACAGGAUUAGAUACCCUGGUAGUCAAGGGCG
rnacentral:rRNA from 1 species